rnacentral:tRNA from 1 species
CAUUAGAUGGCUGAAAGCAAGCUUUGGUCUCUUAAACCACCUAAUAAUAGAUUAGCACCUAUUUCUAAUG